AAACAGGGGGGUUGGCCUAUUAUAUGGCUUCUAGAGAAAAAUAAUGAGGGAUGUCACGGGGUAUGUCUAUAUAGGUCUUGUAGGAGAGAAACAGGCGCAUCUUUUGCGCAAGGUAUCGAAGGGCGCUAUGUUCAAAAAUCUGAAACUAGAGCUAAAAUUUGAAAAAAAAUGUUAAAAACAGGGGGGUUGGCCUAUUCCAUGGCUUCUACAGAAAAAUAAUGAGGGGUGUCACGGGGUAUGACAAUAUAGGUCUUGUAGAAGAGAAACAGGCGCAUCUCUUGCGCAAGGUUUCGAAAGGCGCUAUGUUCAAAAAUCUGAAACUAGAGCUCAAAAUUUGAAAAAAAAGUGUUAAAAACAGGGGGUUGGCCUAUUCCAUGGCUUCUAGAGAAAAAUAAUGAGGGAUGUCUCGGGGUAUGUCUAUAUAGGUCUUGUAGAGGAGAAACAGGCGCAUCUUUUGCGCAAGGUAUCGAAGGGCGCUAUGUUCAAAAAUCUGAAACUAGAGCUCAAAAUUUGAAAAAAAUUGUUAAAAACAGGGGGGUUGGCCUAUUCUAUGGCUUCUAGAGAAAAAUAAUGAGGGAUGUCACGGGGUAUGACUAUAUAGGUCUUGUAGAAGAGAAACAGGCGCAUCUUUUGCGCAAGGUAUCGAAGGGCGCUAUGUUAAAAAAUCUGAAACUAGAGCUCAAAAUUUGAAAAAAAUUGUUAAAAACAGGGGGGUUGGCCUAUUCCUUGGUUUCUAGAGAAAAAUAAUGAGGGGUGUCACGGGGUAUGACUAUAUAGGUCUUGUAGAAGAGAAACAGGCACAUCUUUUGCGCAAGGUAUCGAAGGGCGCUAUGUUCAAAAAUCUGAAACUAGAGCUCAAAAUUUGAAAACAAAUUGUUAAAAACAGGGGGGUUGGCCUAUUCCAUGGCUUGUAGAGAAAAAUAACGAGGGGUGUCACGGGGUAUGACUAUAUAGGUUUUGUAGAGGAGAAACAG